CCUACGGGCGGCAGCAGUGGGGAAUAUUGGACAAUGGGCGAAAGCCUGAUCCAGCCAUGCCGCGUGUGUGAAGAAGGCCUUCGGGUUGUAAAGCACUUUCAGUGGGGAAGAAAGCCUUGGGGCUAAUACCCUCGAGGAAGGACAUCACCCACAGAAGAAGCACCGGCUAACUCCGUGCCAGCAGCCGCGGUAAUACGGAGGGUGCGAGCGUUAAUCGGAAUUACUGGGCGUAAAGCGCGCGUAGGCGGUCUGAUAAGCCGGUUGUGAAAGCCCCGGGCUCAAACUGGGAACGGCAUCCGGAACUGUCAGGCUAGAGUGCAGGAGAGGAAGGUAGAAUUCCCGGUGUAGCGGUGAAAUGCGUAGAGAUCGGGAGGAAUACCAGUGGCGAAGGCGGCCUUCUGGACUGACACUGACGCUGAGGUGCGAAAGCGUGGGUAGCAAACAGGAUUAGAUACCCCGGUAGUC
rnacentral:rRNA from 1 species